rnacentral:tRNA from 1 species
GCACCUUUAGCUCAGCUGGUUAGAGCGUUACAUUGACAUUGUAAAGGUCGCAGGUUCGAGUCCUGCAAGGUGCA